rnacentral:misc_RNA from 1 species
AAUUACAUAAGUUUCCUAUAAUUAUUGUUACACAUAAUAAUUACAAGGAUUCUAACACAAAUAAAGCCUAAAUCUCAUUGAGAAUACACAAACAUAAUAUAAUGGUUCAGGAGAAUUAAUCGUCUUUAUAUUAUUUUUCAUUGAUGAUUACUAAGAUUUAAAGUCACGGCACCAAAUUAGCAUUAGUGAGUAAUCUCUCUCUUUCUCUUACCCAAAUGCAUUGAUGGCAUGAUUGUGGUCAUUGUAUAAGUUGAUCCUAUCAUGCAUUGUAAUAAUUGUUUCUUCAUUGUUUCAGAUUAAUUGCAGUCGGCACAAAUCAAAUAGAAGAUGACAGGCAUAUAACAUUCAAUUCCAUUAAUAUGCUUGUUAAAUACUUUUCACAAACUCUCAACAGCCACCAGUCCACCCACAGCAGAGAGAGAAACUAAAACAAUUUAAAAAAUAGUUAAUAAUAAUAGAAAAAGAACAUCAAAUAAUAUAUCACAAACACAUCUGAUUUGAAGACACUAGGGGCCAAAAGUCAAGUAAUUAGAAAAGAGUAGAUGAUUCAGAUAUAAAGCUUCCUUUAGGAAUUGUUCUAUUUCAGAUUUAAAGUUUUUACUAGAAGUAAUCUUAAGGUGCAACCCAUCAUUUUUCUUAGAAACAAUCUAUUGUGCACUAGAUAAACAAUAACAGCAAAAACAAAGGUGCUAACAAAGAUCAUCUGGUUUGGUUUAAGUUCUUGUUAAUACUCAUUCAACAGAAGUAACCCUGCUUUCGGUCCUUGCCCAGUAAUCUUAAGGUGCAAGCCAUCAUUUUCUUAGAAACAAUCUAUUGUGCACUAGAUAAACAAUAACAGCAAAAACAAAGGUGCUAACAAAGA